rnacentral:rRNA from 1 species
UACAGAGGUCCCAAGCGUUGUUCGGAUUCACUGGGCGUAAAGGGUGCGUAGGCGGUGGGGUAAGUCUGGUGUGAAAGCUCGGAGCUCAACUCCGAAAUGUCAUCGGAAACUACUUCACUAGAGGUUUGGAGGGGGGACUGGAAUUCUCGGUGUAGCAGUGAAAUGCGUAGAUAUCGAGAGGAACACCAGUGGCGAAGGCGAGUCCCUGGACAAAUCCUGACGCUGAGGCACGAAAGCUAGGGGAGCAAACAGG